GAUGAACGCUAGCGAUAGGCUUAACACAUGCAAGUCGAGGGGCAGCAUGGUCUUAGCUUGCUAAGACUGAUGGCGACCGGCGCACGGGUGCGUAACGCGUAUGCAACUUGCCUCACAGAGGGGGAUAACCCGUCGAAAGACGGACUAAUACCGCGUACACUCUAUGUUGGGCAUCCAAUGUAGAGGAAAUGAAAUUCGCUGUGAGAUAGGCAUGCGUCCCAUUAGCUAGUUGGUGAGGUAACGGCUCACCAAGGCGACGAUGGGUAGGGGAACUGAGAGGUUGAACCCCCACACUGGUACUGAGACACGGACCAGACUCCUACGGGAGGCAGCAGUGAGGAAUAUUGGUCAAUGGGCGAGAGCCUGAACCAGCCAAGUCGCGUGAAGGAUGACUGUCUUAUGGAUUGUAAACUUCUUUUAUACGGGAAUAACAAGAGUCACGUGUGGCUCCCUGCAUGUACCGUAUGAAUAAGCAUCGGCUAA
rnacentral:rRNA from 1 species